GACGAACGCUGGCGGCGUGCUUAACACAUGCAAGUCGAACGGAAAGGCCCCAGCUUGCUGGAGUACUCGAGUGGCGAACGGGUGAGUAACACGUGGGUAAUCUGCCCUUCACUCUGGGAUAAGCCUGGGAAACUGGGUCUAAUACUGGAUAUGACCUUUCUCCUUAUGGGGUUGGGUGGAAAGUUUUGCGGUGUAGGAUGAGCCCGCGGCCUAUCAGCUUGUUGGUGGGGUGAUGGCCUACCAAGGCGUUGACGGGUAGCCGGCCUGAGAGGGUGACCGGCCACAUUGGGACUGAGAUACGGCCCAGACUCCUACGGGAGGCAGCAGUGGGGAAUAUUGCACAAUGGGCGGAAGCCUGAUGCAGCGACGCCGCGUGAGGGAUGACGGCCUUCGGGUUGUAAACCUCUUUCAGCAGGGACGAAGCGUAAGUGACGGUACCUGCAGAAGAAGCACCGGCUAACUAUGUG
rnacentral:rRNA from 1 species